rnacentral:rRNA from 1 species
GAUGAACGCUGGCGGCGUGCUUAACACAUGCAAGUCGAGCGAAGCAGUUAAGUUGAUUUCUUCGGAUUGAUUCUUAAUUGACUGAGCGGCGGACGGGUGAGUAACGCGUGGGUGACCUGCCCCAUACCGGGGGAUAACAGCUGGAAACGGCUGCUAAUACCGCAUAAGCGCACAGAGCUGCAUGGCUCAGUGUGAAAAACUCCGGUGGUAUGGGAUGGGCCCGCGUCUGAUUAGGCAGUUGGCGGGGUAACGGCCCACCAAACCGACGAUCAGUAGCCGGCCUGAGAGGGCGACCGGCCACAUUGGGACUGAGACACGGCCCAAACUCCUACGGGAGGCAGCAGUGGGGAAUAUUGCACAAUGGGGGAAACCCUGAUGCAGCGACGCCGCGUGAGCGAAGAAGUAUUUCGGUAUGUAAAGCUCUAUCAGCAGGGAAGAUAAUGACGGUACCUGACUAAGAAGCCC